GGGGAGGUAAUGACGUUGCUAACGUAAAAUGUUAUUUUCGCGACGUCAAACUAUGACAUAUCGGGAAAAGAGGCAUUUUUCGACUAUUUUUUAUCAUUCAAACUGAUUUAAUUUGAAAACGAGUGCAUGCACCCCAUUUUGUAAAACGACAUUUUGUUUCAUUUUGCAGAGAGAUUAUGUGAACCAAAUUUUAUAAAACUGUAAAUAG
rnacentral:lncRNA from 1 species